AUUGAACGCUGGCGGCAUGCCUUACACAUGCAAGUCGAACGGUAACAGGUCUUUCGGGAUGCUGACGAGUGGCGAACGGGUGAGUAAUACAUCGGAACGUGCCUAGCAGUGGGGGAUAACUACUCUAAAGAGUGGCUAAUACCGCAUGAGAUCUAUGGAUGAAAGCAGGGGACCAUUGGGCCUUGUGCGACUAGAGGGGCCGAUGCGAGAUUAGGUAGUUGGUGGGAUAAAAGCUUACCAAGCCUACGAUCUGUAGCUGGUCUGAGAGGACGAUCAGCCACACUGGAACUGAGACACGGCCCAGACUCCUACGGGAGGCAGCAGUGGGGAAUUUUGGACAAUGGGCGCAAGCCUGAUCCAGCAAUGCCGCGUGCAGGAUGAAGGCCUUCGGGUUGUAAACUGCUUUUGUACGGAACGAACAGUCUUGGGUUAAUACCCUGGGAUCAUGACGGUACCGUAAGAAUAAGCACCGGCUAACUACGUG
rnacentral:rRNA from 1 species